CGGACAUCCUCCCUCCCUCCCUUGUAAAAAUUAUGGCACUAAAGAUGGAUUCUCUGAGACCACAGGUCAAGCAAGCCGUUUUACUGUGGAUUGAUGGUUUCAGGGAGGCAUGUUGUCUUCACAGGGUCGUCUUCCUCUGUCUCAGGUCGAGGAUGCUCUUGAUCCGAAUCGGGCAGUGUUUUCUUUUGAAUGGCUUGAUUUUCUUAGGAAGCAUGUUUGUUAUAAAUUCAGUUGUCAUUCCAACUCUAGAAUGGAUAUUACCAAAUCGAUGCCCAAAUUUUGGUUCAGACGAUCAAUGUUCCUUUGCUGGUGGUGUAAAACUUUAUUCCUUCUUACGCUCAGGACUUAUUCAGCUUUUCUAUAUAUUUUGGUUUUAUCCACUGUAUGUUUUCAGCUUUGUACUAAGCAUUCUCUGGUACAAUGACAUUGCUAAGUAUGCUUUUGUUGCAAUGGGUAAAGAUGGAUCAGCUGUGGUGGAAUCAUCAAUCCAGAAGGAGUCAGUAAACUCACAAACUUCUGCUCAUAUGGAAAAGCCUCCUGGCCUUGGGGGGGUGAUAAUUGGAAUCGGGGAACAGAUUUAUUCACUCGUCCUGUUGAACUUCUUCUUCCUUGAGGUUUUUACUGUUGGGUUUAUACCCUACAUUGGGAAGGUGCUCAAUUUCAUACUUCUUUCUUGGAUGUAUUCCUACUACAGUUUUGAGUACAAAUGGAAUCUUGCUGAGGUGGGUCUAGACAAACGGCUUGACUUCUUUGAAUCAAACUGGGCCUUCUUCGCAGGUUUUGGUAAUGAUAUUGAUCAGAGGCCCUUGUAUUUUGGCAAUUUUCUUCUUUUCUCCUCUUGUGAGUUACGGCGUCAUGGCUAUCCUCUUUCCACUGUUUGUUGCGACUGCCACAAGCUCUGAAGCUGACCAAGCUAUGAAUUCUAACAGAAGUACAUGGAGAGGAGCUGAAUUAGGAAGGCUUCCAAUAUUUUAUGCUGCCGAUACUUUAUCGAUGCGGGUGUUGCUUCUUUUCAGUCGGACACCUCAUGGACGAACACCAGACAAGAAGACCCCCUGAGAAGUUAUGCGUAUUAUGCUAGUUGAUUCCAAACUUCCCGGUAACUCUGUGGUAGUGCUUGCAGCAGAGAAUAUUAUGGAUACAAAAGAUAUAUGAGCUACUCCCAUUGUGCAAGUUGUGUAUAGGAAAAGUCAAAAUCUUACCUCGUUCAUUCUUAUGUACAGUAAUAUGAUAAAGUAUAUAUUCCUCCUAAUUCGUGAGUAAUUGGGAAUAUGUUGUUUAACAGACUGGAGAAUUACUUGAUAAAAAUGAGAAAUCACGGGCACGCCUUCGGACAA